UGGGGCGGAGCUGGGCGGCUGGGGCGGGGCCGGGCGUGCCCCGCGAGACUGAGGUCAGCGUGGAGAGGGCAGAGGUCACCCGCAGGUCGCUCGGAGGAGUGGGGGCAGAGCGUGGGGUUGGUCAACCGCCCAACCCUAAAUGGCGCUUCGGGGAUCUCCCGGAGGCGUCGGAGGCCCUCUUCCAGCCCGGGUCUGGGGUUGCCAACAGCCGUGGAGGAACCAGAAGAGACGCCAAAUGAGAGAACCUUGUAUGUAAAAAACGGAGCUUUAGCAGUUUUUUCCUAGAGGCCGCGGGAGCGCAGGGGCAGGGGGGACCGAAUUCCAAAUACGUCCGGGGCCAGCCACCCCGAAGCUCACCGCGCUGUGACAAGUUUUUAUUAGAAUUGUGUACGUUGACCCAGAAAAAUAUAGUGAUUCUUGGUAAAGUUUUUAAAAGUUUAAAAGGAGUCCUCAUGGCAUUCAUUUUGUGUUAAUCAUAUUUUUAUUUGCCAGCAGCCUGGAAGGAAAGACACCAAAUUAUUAAAACGGUAUUUAUCUUUGAUGAAUGAAUGAUAUGAAGGACUCUCACUUUAUACUUAAUAGCCUUCUGAAUUGUCUUAGACUAGUAACGAGCAUGCAUAACUCAUCAGGGUACUUCCCAUGAUAAAAACUUAAAUUCUUAGUCUGUUCAUAGGCUAUCUGCAGUCAGGCUUUCCCAAUGUCAGGAGUUCGAAAGCCCAUAUGUAAAUCCUAAACACUUUGAGCAUAUGUCGUUGUGUCAGUUAUCAAGGCAUUGCCUCUCAGCUUUGAACACACUUCGACAUAGGCUCUGUGAUAAAUAGCAAUUACUUUGAGCAUUUCUCCUUCAAAGCGGGCACCAAGUUAAGCCUUCUGAGUAAAGUAUGCUGGAGGAAGAAGCUCCUUGCAGUUUCUAGAGCAGUACAAGAGUUGGGAGUGUGAUCCUGAGUACAUCCUGUGGGGUCUGCCCCAGCCACAGGUUCAAACCCAGUUCCUCUGUGACCUUACAGCCCAAAUUUGGCAAUAACCUUCCUACAGCCCUCUUAACCCAGAAACCAGAGUCCUGUGAAGCCUGCAGGCAGCCACUUGCCCAUACUUCUUUGGCAAACCCUUCAAUGGCCUGUGCACAGUUGCCUGUGGCCAACAGGGUCACACGCUGAGCAGUCAUUCCCUCACCAAGCCUCCCCCUCCUCCAUCAACCCCACCAUUCCUUCUUAGACAUUCUGAGAGCUUUCUACUCUAGCUGGCUAGACCCCUAAGGCAUCCCCCUGACACUGAUUGAUGAUUGCUCCCUUUGCUGACUUCUCUGUCUUGCUUAAGGGAAGGUGGAUGUCAAGCAUUAACUGUGAUAAAAGGGUAGCCAGAAGACAUAAGGACACUAUAUGGUACCUAGGGCUGAGGACCAGUACUCAAGGACAAAUUUGAAAGGAGAAUGCACCUGGUUGGAGAAGGCAUGGGUUGCUACCAGAUUGCAGAGAAGGUUUACCCAGUCUGGAGGUGGUCUGAAGUUGCUGGGCAAACAACAGAGAAGGGGGGAGAGGAGAGCCAGCAGUCUCUGCCAUAAUGCACUCUCUUUAUGAUUCAGACUUUGUCAUAAGUAGGAAUUUUUUAACUAAAAAAAAAAAAAA
rnacentral:lncRNA from 1 species